rnacentral:rRNA from 1 species
AUGCAGUCGAACGAUGAACCCCGCUUGCGGGGGGAUUAGUGGCGAACGGGUGAGUAACACGUGAGUAACCUGCCCUUAACUCUGGGAUAAGCCUUGGAAACGGGGUCUAAUACUGGAUAUUGACUUUUCCUCGCAUGGGGAUUGGUUGAAAGAUUUAUUGGUUUUGGAUGGACUCGCGGCCUAUCAGCUUGUUGGUGAGGUAAUGGCUCACCAAGGCGACGACGGGUAGCCGGCCUGAGAGGGUGACCGGCCACACUGGGACUGAGACACGGCCCAGACUCCUACGGGAGGCAGCAGUGGGGAAUAUUGCACAAUGGGCGAAAGCCUGAUGCAGCGACGCCGCGUGAGGGAUGACGGCCUUCGGGUUGUAAACCUCUUUCAGUAGGGAACAAGGCCAGUGUUUAGCUGGUUGAGGGUACUUGCAGAAGAAGCGCCGGCUAACUACGUGCCAGCAGCCGCGGUAAUACGUAGGGCGCAAGCGUUAUCCGGAAUUAUUGGGCGUAAAGAGCUCGUAGGCGGUUUGUCGCGUCUGCCGUGAAAGUCCGGGGCUCAACCCCGGAUCUGCGGUGGGUACGGGCAGACUAGAGUGAUGUAGGGGAGACUGGAAUUCCUGGUGUAGCGGUGAAAUGCGCAGAUAUCAGGAGGAACACCGAUGGCGAAGGCAGGUCUCUGGGCAUU